GACGAACGUUGGCGGCGUGCUUAAUACAUGCAAGUCAACUGAAGCAGUGGUAGCAAUAUCGCUGUGGAGGUGGCGCACGGGUGAGUAACACGUAGGUAAUCUGCCUUCAGGUCUGGCAUAACUCCGGGAAACCGGGGCUAAUAGCAGAUGAUGCAGCGGCUCGACAUCGAGACAGUUGUUAAAGCUAGGGUGCCUGAAGAUGAGCCUGCGUCUGAUUAGCUAGUUGGCGGGGUAACGGCCCACCAAGGCAACGAUCAGUAGCUGGUCUGAGAGGAUGAUCAGCCACACUGGAACUGAGACACGGUCCAGACUCCUACGGGAGGCAGCAGUAAGGAAUAUUGCUCAAUGGGAGAAAUCCUGAAGCAGCAACGCCGCGUGAGGGACGAAGGGCUUUUGCUUGUAAACCUCUGUAGUGAGAGAAAAAAAUCCCAAUCUUUGGGACAUGAUGGUAUCUCAAAAGUAAGCCCCGGCUAACUACGUG
rnacentral:rRNA from 1 species